ensembl:lncRNA
AUGCUUAACCUCGUCCACCCCAGCUGUAAAACUCAGAAACCAGUCUUACUUGUUAUCAUCUAUCGUCCACCUGGGCCUUACACAGAGUUUCUCUCUGAUUUCUCAGACUUUUUAUCUGAUUUAGUGCUCAGCUCAGAUAAAAUAAUUAUUGUGGGUGAUUUUAACAUCCAUGUAGAUGCUAAAAAUGACAGCCUCAACAUGGCGUUUAAUCUGUUAUUAGACUCAAUUGGCUUCUCUCAAAAUGUAAAAGAACCCACCCACCACUUUAAUCACACUCUAGAUCUUGUUUUAACAUAUGGCAUAGAAACUGAACAUUUAACAGUGUUUCCUGAAAACCCUCUGCUGUCUGAUCAUUUCCUGAUAACAUUUACAUUUACAAUAAUUGAUUACACAGCAGUGGAGAGUAGACUUUAUCAAAGUAGAUGUCUUUCUGAAAGUGCUGUAACUAAGUUUAAGAAUAUAAUCCACCCACUGUUAUCAUCUUCAAUGCACUGUACCAACAUAGAGCAGAGCAGCUACCUGAACGCUACUCCAACAGAGGUUGAUUAUCUUGUUAAUAAUUUUACCUCCUCACUACGUACGACUCUGGAUACUGUAGCUCCUGUGAAAACUAAGGCCUCAAAUCAGAAGUACCUGACUCCGUGGUAUAAUUCUCAAACACGUAGCCUAAAGCAGAUAACUCGUAAGCUGGAGAGGAAAUGGCGUGUCACAAAUUUAGAGGAUCAUCAUUUAGCCUGGAGAAAUAGUUUGCUACUUUAUAAGAAAGCCCUCCGCAAAGCCAGAACAUCUUACUAUUCGUCACUGAUUGAAGAAAAUAAGAACAACCCCAGGUUUCUCUUCAGCACUGUAGCCAGGCUGACAAAAAGUCAGAGCUCUACUGAGCCAACAAUCCCUUUAACGUUAACUAGUAAUGACUUCAUGAACUUCUUCACAAAUAAAAUUUUUAUCAUUAGAGAAAAAAUUACCAAUAAUCAUCCCACAGAUGUAAUAUUAUCUACAGCUACUUUUAGUACCAUCGAUGUUAAGUUAGACUCUUUUUCUCCAAUUGAUCUUUCUGAGUUAACUUCAAUAAUUACUUCCUCCAAACCAUCAACGUGUCUUUUAGACCCCAUUCCUACAAAACUGCUCAAAGAAGUCCUGCCAUUAAUUAAUUCUUCGAUCUUAAAUAUGAUCAACCUAUCUCUAAUAAUCGGCUGUGUACCACAGGCCUUCAAGGUGGCUGUAGUUAAACCUUUACUCAAAAAGCCAUCUCUAGACCCAGCAGUCUUAGCUUAG